GAUGAACGCUGGCGGCGUGCCUAAUACAUGCAAGUCGAGCGAAUGGACGAGAAGCUUGCUUCUCUGAUGUUAGCGGCGGACGGGUGAGUAACACGUGGAUAACCUACCUAUAAGACUGGGAUAACUUCGGGAAACCGGAGCUAAUACCGGAUAAUAUUUUGAACCGCAUGGUUCAAAAGUGAAAGACGGUCUUGCUGUCACUUAUAGCUGGAUCCGCGCUGCAUUAGCUAGUUGGUAAGGUAACGGCUUACCAAGGCAACGAUGCAUAGCCGACCUGAGAGGGUGAUCGGCCACACGGGAACUGAGACACGGUCCAGACUCCUACGGGAGGCAGCAGUAGGGAAUCUUCCGCAAUGGGCGAAAGCCUGACGGAGCAACGCCGCGUGAGUGAUGAAGGUCUUCGGAUCGUAAAACUCUGUUAUUAGGGAAGAACAUAUGUGUAAGUAACUGUGCACAUCUUGACGGUACCUAAUCAGAAAGCCACGGCUAACUACGUG
rnacentral:rRNA from 1 species